rnacentral:rRNA from 1 species
UCGAGAAUUUUUCACAAUGGGGGCAACCCUGAUGGAGCGACGCCGCGUGGAGGACGAAGGUUUUCGGAUCGUAAACUCCUGUCAUGCGAGAACAAGAAAGUGAUAGUAUCGCAAGAGGAAGAGGCGGCUAACUCUGUGCCAGCAGCCGCGGUAAUACAGAGGCCUCAAGCGUUGUUCGGAUUCAUUGGGCGUAAAGGGUGCGUAGGCGGUUUUGUAAGUCGAAUGUGAAAUCUCGGGGCUUAACUCCGAAACUGCAUUCGAUACUGCAGAACUCGAGGACUGUAGAGGAGAAUGGAAUUCACGGUGUAGCAGUGAAAUGCGUAGAUAUCGUGAGGAAGACCAGUGGCGAAGGCGAUUCUCUGGGCAGUUCCUGACGCUGAGGCACGAAGGCUAGGGGAGC